UGGGGAAUAUUGCACAAUGGGCGGAAGCCUGAUGCAGCGACGCCGCGUGGGGGAUGAAGGCCUUCGGGUUGUAAACUCCUUUCGACAGGGACGAAGCUUUUGUGACGGUACCUGUAUAAGAAGCACCGGCUAACUACGUGCCAGCAGCCGCGGUAAUACGUAGGGUGCGAGCGUUGUCCGGAAUUACUGGGCGUAAAGGGCUCGUAGGUGGUUUGUCGCGUCGUCUGUGAAAUUCCGGGGCUUAACUCCGGGCGUGCAGGCGAUACGGGCUGACUUGAGUGCUGUAGGGGAGACUGGAAUUCCUGGUGUAGCGGUGAAAUGCGCAGAUAUCAGGAGGAACACCGAUGGCGAAGGCAGGUCUCUGGGCAGUAACUGACGCUGAGGAGCGAAAGCAUGGGUAGCGAACAGG
rnacentral:rRNA from 1 species